AAGAUACCGAUCAAGGUUGGGUGAUAUAGAUACAAAUGUGUUAGGUGUGUGUGCACCUGACAUGCAGUUCAUUUACAUACUACCUGGUUGGGAGGGUUCUGCACAUGAUGGUCGUGUUCUUAGAGAUGCCAUCUCAAGGCCAAAUGGGUUGCGUGUCCCUGAAGAUCAAUAUUAUCUUGUCGAUGCUGGUUACACAAAUGCGAAAGGAUUUUUAGCUCCAUACCGUGGUCAAAGGUAUCACUUGGGUGCUUGGACAGCA
rnacentral:rRNA from 1 species